UGGGGAAUAUUGCGCAAUGGGGGAAACCCUGACGCAGCGACGCCGCGUGAGCGAUGAAGGCCUUAGGGUUGUAAAGCUCUGUUUUAAGGGACGAAUGUUACGGGGAGUAAUAUACCCUGUAAAUGACGGUACCUUAAGAGGAAGCCCCGGCUAACUACGUGCCAGCAGCCGCGGUAAGAUGUAGGGGGCGAGCGUUGUCCGGAAUUACUGGGCGUAAAGAGCACGUAGGCGGGAACUUAAGUCAGGUGUGAAAGACCGGGGCUCAACCUCGGGGGUGCAGUUGAAACUGGGUUUCUUGAGGGCAGGAGAGGAAAGUAGGAUUCCUGGUGUAGCGGUGAAAUGCGUAGAAAUCAGGAGGAAUACCAGUGGCGAAGGCGACUUUCUGGACUGACCCUGACGCUGAGGUGCGAAAGCGUGGGUAGCAAACAG
rnacentral:rRNA from 1 species